ACCUUUUUCGGGGCAGUGAAUCAGGGUUGGGUCAAGGCGUGCUAUCUCCGACCUCUACUUCGCAACCUCGAAUGACCUUCAAACUCUGAAACAAGCACGGCGACGUCUCUGUUAUGGUUAGACAAAACCAAUAGAGGCUGAACGAAAACGAACCUUUAGAGUGUGGUUCUAACGAGUAAAAAAACGAGAGUAGAAUGGCGAGAAAACUUUUUGAGCAGGAUUUCAAAAUUAAUGAUUCAAAAUCGAGUUAGAGUCCGUUUGAAUCCGAGUGUGCUCACAUGAUUUGGUUCAGCUUCUUGUCCACAAUAUCGUGAUUUUGACCGAGACCUUAAGGAUUCAUGGGUCAUCAAGCACAAAUAUGAAAGAGGAAAGAAAGAGACAUUAUUUGCACCAAAU
rnacentral:lncRNA from 1 species